GCCUUGGUGGUGGAAUUGGUAGACACGCAGGACUUAAAAUCCUGAGAACAUUGCGUUCGUGCGGGUUCAAGUCCCGCCCGAGGUA
rnacentral:tRNA from 1 species